rnacentral:rRNA from 1 species
AUGACUACCUGAUUCUUUGAUUUAAUUAGAGAUCAUUCCCUAGACUUUAUAGGCCUGCAAGAAACUAUGAAGAAAAAAUUCUCUCCUAAAUUCUUAAGGAAGGUGGACCCCUUGGAUAGAUAUACCUGGAACUGGACUCCCUCUAUUGGCAAGUCAGGUGGCAUCCUAUGUGGUGUCAAGAAAGAAAACCUUGAAAUUAUAUCCUGGGUACUUGGUAGCUUCCUUCUUCAAGCUAACAUAUAUGAUGUUAAAAACAAAUGCGUCUGGGCCCUUGUAGUGGUCUAUGGGGCAGCUCAGGAUGAUAGGAAGGAUGAGUUCCUAAAUGAGCUAGAUUCUACUUGUUCCCAGAUCCAUGUCCCCUAUAUAGUGGGUGGUGAUUUCUAUAUCUUACGAAACUGUGAGGAGAAAAAAAAACGUGACCCAUUCCCACUACACAGACAAGUUUAA